rnacentral:lncRNA from 1 species
UGGAGACCAAUUUUCACUUUGCUGAUAAAAAUUUGUGCAAUAAAUAAAUAAACAACUAUAACUUUGUCUAUCGGACUUACGGCGUUGAUCCUGAGGCUAAUUGAAUUGUCCUCUUGCAACAAGAGUCGAUCCCUCAUUGACUGGUCUUUGAGGAUAGAGAUCUUUCAGCAUCACUAUCACUUUCUUUCGACUUUUUCCCCGCGGACCUCAGAACAUGCUUCACGGAUGGAGGGAAGUGGUUUGGUUGAGAGAAUCCUCUCCUGACUUCGUCCAAGUUCUUGUUGAGGCCGACAAGAAAUGUGAAGAUCCGCUCCUUCUCAAUAAUCUUCAGGUACUUAAGGGCAUUAGUCAGGCAGUCCCACUCAAGACCCUAAAAAAUAUCCAGCUGCUACCAAUCUUAAGUAAGGAUACUGAAAUAUUGGGUGAUGUUGAGGUCGCCUGAGCCUAGAUCUCAAAUUUGACUCUAAAUCUCAAAUGUUUCAGCUGCAUUUUCAUCGUCUGAGAAAGUUUCUUUGGUAACAUCCCAAAUCUCCUUUGUUGUUUUAUAGAACAGAAAGGUUUGCCCAACAUCUGCUUCCAUUGAGUUUAUCAACCACUACAUGACCAUAUUAUUGAUGAACAAAAGAGAAG